GAUUUAAGACCAACAAACGUUCUUCGAGAUGUACAAGGAAAUUUUUUAAUUGCUGACUUUGGAAUAAGUCAUAUGUUAUCUAAUGAAACUUUGACACAUCAAAGCAUACAGAGAGGAGCUAAAAAUUGGAUAGCUCCAGAGUCAUAUAACGUAUCAGAUGAUACAAUUAAUAAAGCUCGUUACAAAAAGGAGUCUGACAUUAUGAAUGCCGGAAUGGUGGCUUAUUAUGUUGCAACAAAGGGAAAACAUCCUUUGGAAUUGAACGGCAUAGACUGGACAACAUUUUGAAAGGAAACCCAGUUGGCUUGAACGAAAUCAAGGAUGCCACGUUUAAAGACCUUUUAUCGUGGAUGCUACAGUUAAAACCUGAAGACAGGCCAUCUGCCAAUGAGGCGUUAAAACACCCUUAUCUACAAUCAGAUGAAGAGAAAUUUAACAUGCUGUGUGAUAUGGGGAACCAACUGGAGGUGAAACAUUCACAAAGUCAAAAUUCUCCCACUUCAGAUGUUCAUAAGCAGUUGCAUGGCUCCACAGAAUGGAUGAAGCGUAUCGAUGAUGAAGUCGUCAAAGAUUUGAUCAACUUUGAAGUAAACGACAGUAUAAGAACUCUAAAGUACGAGUCUACAUGGGCAGGAUGCUUAAGAUUUAUGCGAAACGUUGACCAACAUUGGCAAAAUAAGCCUCGUCCGCAUCUAUCACAACAUGUGAAUCAAGGCAAUUAUAAAAAGUAUUUCCUGCAACGUUUUCCUGAACUUCUUCUUCUGGUGCACAAAGUCAUUAGGUCACUGGAAAACUAAAUCUGAUCACAAGAAUAAUGAAGAACGUCGUGCAAUUGUUCAGGAUUUGUUUACACUAUCUACUCAUAAGUUUUAUUGUCUCGCUUUUAAAUUUAAUGACUUUUUAUUUAAACACUUUCUCACUCGAUACUGAAGUCUUAUAAUUAAUUAUGUAAUAUAUACUGUGAAAAAUUUUAAUCUCCGCAAAUGGAUAUGAUUACUUAAAAUAUUUAUAAUGGGACUGAAAAUAUUACUAAUUCGAAUGUACAGUCAUGUAGUGGCAACGUAUCCCUCGCAAUACAUGACAUUCAUGUUGUUAAAUGAAUUAAAAUUGUAUGUGGCUGCUACUCAAAAAUAUUUAGGUUUUUGAGCGUUGGAGAUUUACCUCAUCGCAGAAUACAGCGAGGAGUUAAAAAUUGGGUAACUCCAGUCAUAUGAUCUAUCCAGCAUCCAAUCAUCAAUGUAUCUUGCUACAAGAAACAGUCUGAUGUUAUGAUAAGUGUUUGUUGUAGACAUUUAAAUGUAGUUGAACUCUGCAAAUAACAAAUAAAGUCAAUUUUUGACGUUUCAGUAUCCACCGCCACUAA